rnacentral:pre_miRNA from 1 species
CUAAUACUCCCUCCGUCCUAAAAUUCUUAUUCUAUAAAUUUGUCUAAAUACAAAUAUACAAGUCACAUUUUAAUAUUAGGUACAUUCGUAUCUAAACAAAUUUAAGACAAAAUUUUUGGGACGGAGGUAGUAUAAC